AUUGUGUGUUCUUAUGUUUUCAAUUGUUCCUUUUGUCUGUUAGAUGCUAAUUUGCUUUUGGUGUAUUCUUCGUAGAAUCAUUGGUUGGUGUGUUGCCGUAAUUACUCUUUAAGAUCGAUUAAGAUGGUGUUUUGCAUGCCUUGAUUUAUCUUUAAUUUUAAGAGGAUGUUUUAUCGAGAUUGCUCUUUUAGAUGAUGUUUUGCCUUUGUUACUCUCUAAGAUUAAGAUGAUGGUUUAACUGAUUGAUAUGAUUAUUUUGUCUACCAAUCGCUGUAUCAGGUUGUCGUAUUUGUAUUGUUUAGUUGAUCCGUUUGUGUUUCCUCAAUCAGACUAGUUAAUCAUUUCUGCGAUAUUCUAGUUGUAACAUGCUAGUGGCGGCCUGAAAUUAGGUUAGCUCAUAUUAUGGUUACUAAUUCAAGCUUUUGUACUUGCAGUCAACUUUCGAAUGAAUGAUGAAGACCUUUGGAUUCCUAACUCCAGACUUUUGGAACAACACUCGAUUCUCAAAAACACCCUUCCGAGAGUACACUGAUCUUCGAGGCCUGAGCAUUGAUGAAUGAACCGUAAUUGAUAUAGGGGAAUGAAUGUUGGCCUCUUGCUUUAGAAGUUGUUCAUAAUGCAGCUGGAUCAUGCAUUCUUCUGAUGACCAAGUCAACACUGUACCAUUGAUGAAACCAUGGCACUCGGUUUAUCUCGGCAUUUUCCAAGAGAGGAAUCGUGAGAGAUGGAGAGGUGAAGUUGCAGGCGGUGCUAGUGGGGUGUAUCUAGGGGUGGUAAACGA